UCAUGUGAGGGGGAUGAUGGGURACACCCUARARACAGAUACAGAUKAUGAUAUUAAGAAUCAUAUGAAGGUGGACUUGGACGUAAUACACAACUCAAAGUCRCAAUGAAAAAGAAUCUAAGACAUGUACACAUCGCCCGUCACUCUCACCUAAAGGCGAGAUAAGUCGUAACAAAGUAGGUGUAACGGAAGUUGCACCUGU
rnacentral:rRNA from 1 species